GACGAACGCUGGCGGCGUGCCUAAUACAUGCAAGUCGAACGCUGAAGGAGGAGCUUGCUUCUCUGGAUGAGUUGCGAACGGGUGAGUAACGCGUAGGUAACCUGCCUGGUAGCGGGGGAUAACUAUUGGAAACGAUAGCUAAUACCGCAUAAGAGUAGAUGUCGCAUGACAUUUGCUUAAAAGGUGCAAUUGCAUCACUACCAGAUGGACCUGCGUUGUAUUAGCUAGUUGGUGAGGUAACGGCUCACCAAGGCAACGAUACAUAGCCGACCUGAGAGGGUGAUCGGCCACACUGGGACUGAGACACGGCCCAGACUCCUACGGGAGGCAGCAGUAGGGAAUCGUCGGCAAGGGACGGAAGUCUGACCGAGCAACGCCGCGUGAGUGAAGAAGGUUGUCGGAUCGUAAAGCUCGGUUGUAAGAGAAGAACGAGUGUGAGAGUGGAAAGUUCACACUGUGACGGUAUCUUACCAGAAAGGGACGGCUAACUACGUG
rnacentral:rRNA from 1 species